ACGAACGUUGGCGGCGUGGAUUAGUGCAUGCAAGUCGAACGACGGCCGGGGGGCAACCCCCGGUACGGAGUGGCGAACGGGGCAGUAAGUGCGUGGGUAACCCACCCUGGGGACGGGGAUAGCCUUCCUAACGGAAGGGUAAUACCCGGCGACGUGACGAGGACGCCUGUUCUUGUCACCAAAGGAGUUUCGCCCUGGGAAGGGCCCACGUGGUAUUAGCUAGUUGGUGAGGUGAUGGCUCACCAAGGCCAAGAUGCCUAGCAGGUGUGAGAGCACGACCUGCGCCACUGGCACUGCGACACUGGCCAGACUCCUACGGGAGGCUGCAGUCGAGGAUCUUCGGCAAUGGGCGCAAGCCUGACCGAGCGACGCCGCGUGUGCGAUGAAGGCCUUCGGGUUGUAAAGCACUGUCGAGGGGGAGGAAGCCGCAAGGUUGACCGACCCCUGGAGGAAGCUCGGGCUAAGUUCGUGCCAGCAGCCGCGGUAAGACGAACCGAGCGAACGUUGUUCGGAAUCACUGGGCUUAAAGGGCGCGUAGGCGGGUCCGUCAGUCUGUGGUGAAAGCCCCCGGCUCAACCGGGGAAGUGCCGCGGAUACUGCGGAUCUCGAGGGGGGUAGGGGCAUGUGGAACUUCCGGUGGAGCGGUGAAAUGCGUAGAUAUCGGAAGGAACGCCGGUGGCGAAAGCGACGUGCUGGACCCCUUCUGACGCUGAGGCGCGAAAGCCAGGGGAGCAAACGGGAUUAGAUACCCCGGUAGUCCUGGCCCUAAACGAUGGGUACUAGGCUGUGGACUGACAUGGGUUCACAGCCGAAGCAAAAGUGUUAAGUACCCCGCCUGGGGAGUAUGGUCGCAAGGCUGAAACUCAAAGGAAUUGACGGGGGCUCACACAAGCGGUGGAGCAUGUGGCUUAAUUCGAGGCUACGCGAAGAACCUUAUCCUGGACUUGACAUGUCCGAAAGGGGCAGGAAGUAGCCCCGCGGAAACGUGGGGCCAACGGUAUCCAGUCCGGAACCUGCCACAGGUGCUGCAUGGCUGUCGUCAGCUCGUGUCGUGAGAUGUCGGGUUAAGUCCCAUAACGAGCGAAACCCCUGUCUCUAGUUGCCAGCGCUUCGGGCGGGGACUCUGGAGAGACUGCCGGUGUUAAACCGGAGGAAGGUGGGGAUGACGUCAAGUCCUCAUGGCCUUUACGUCCAGGGCUGCACACGUGCUACAAUGGCGUGAACAAAGGGAAGCCAACGCGCGAGCGGGAGCCAAUCCCAAAAAACACGCCCCAGUUCAGAUUGAAGGCUGCAACUCGCAUUCAUGAAGUUGGAUCGCUAGAAUCG
rnacentral:rRNA from 1 species